rnacentral:tRNA from 1 species
AGAUAACAUCUUUACAAAAAUGAUUUCAAGAUCAAUCAAAUUAAGGGCCAACAAACAAUUAUUAAAACGUAGCAAGGUUG